rnacentral:misc_RNA from 1 species
GAUGAAGAACGUAGCGAAAUGCGAUCAGUAAUGUGAAUUGCAGAAUUCAGUGAAUCAUCGAAUCUUUGAACGCACAUUGCGCCCGCCAGUAUUCUGGCGGGCAUGCCUGUUCGAGCGUCAUUACAACCCUCAGGCCCCCGGGCCUGGCGUUGGGGAUCGGCGGAAGCCCCCUGCGGGCACAACGCCGUCCCCCAAAUACAGUGGCGGUCCCGCCGCAGCUUCCAUUGCGUAGUAGCUAACACCUCGCAACUGGAGAGCGGCGCGGCCACGCCGUAAAACACCCAACUUCUGAAUGUUGACCUCGAAUCAGGUAGGAAUACCCGCUGAACUUAAGCAUAUCAAUAAGCGGAGGA